CGUUACUUUACUUAAGUAGUUUUUUUGGGUAUCUGUACUUUAUUUUACUACUUAUAUUUCUGUUUACUUUUACUUUUACUUCACUACAUUUUGCAAUGAAAACUUGUACUUUUACUCCGAUACAUUUCCCCUGAAACAGUAUCGUUACUCGUUACUACGGAAAAAAAUAAUCAUGAGAAACAUCGGGGACUGUUGUGGAACACACCGCAGCGCACCUGAACGCAGCACAUCGGGGACUGUUGUGGAACACACCGCAGCGCACCUGAACGCAGCACGAACACACAGGUUGGGGAUCAGUGGUCCUUGCCGCGUGUGCGGCUACAGAUCCGACUCAUUUCAUGUGGAGCAGCAAUGGAAGCUAUUCGAAAAACCACGGGGACCAAGAUCAACGUCCGAGGCCAUAUUUGGGCGAACUCUUUUCUUUUGUCGGAGUGAAAGUUUCUUCCUACCGGAUGAAGUGCCUCUUAUGCCGACCGAAAGCUACGGAGAUAUGGCCUUCAACAACUCACCAACCUCAGGAAACACAUUGAGGAAUGGACUACAUCAAGCAGCACAUGGAAGAACCCUCCCUGCAGCUAUGUGGUGCCACCAGGUCCAGUUCAUCUGAUGAAGAGGACUUCUUCUUCGUCAUCUCAAGCGCAUGACAGCAGCAAACAGCUGGAUGGAGACGUGGAUCACGUUGACUUGCUGAAAUGCUACCCAACUGUGUGCUGCUGUCUGUGAAGCUAGACACACUCUACCUGCACCAUCAGGGCCUGUGAAGCUAGACACACUCUACCUGCACCAUCAGGGCCUGUGAAGCUAGACACACUCUACCUGCAUCAGGGCCUGUGAAGCUAGACACACUCUACCUGCACCAUCAGGGCCUGUGAAGCUAGACACACUCUACCUGCACCAUCAGGGCCUGUGAAGCUAGACACACUCUACCUGCACCAUGUGAACGGCUCUUCAGCAUCGCAGCACUCGUCUUCAGCCCCAGAAGAGAGACACUGAAAUCUGUCCAUUUUGAAAAUCAACUUCUUUUGAAGAUGAACAAUACAUUUUUCACUUUAAAGUGAUGAUUCUGGUUGUUACUUUUGGUUCUACUUUUUUCUGUGUUAAUCGUGUUUUUAUAUUUUAGUAAUUUCAUCGUAUUCAUAUAUUGCUAAGUUCAUCCUAGCUCAUACUCCUUGUUCAUGGCGGCCACAGCACCCAAACAAAUAAACUUCAUAAUUCUCUAAA